rnacentral:tRNA from 1 species
AAAUCUUUAUUUUAUAUAAAAUAUCAUUUUUGCAGAAUGAAGAAAAAAGUUUUUUAAGAUUUA